UACGUAGGGUGCAAGCGUUGUCCGGAAUUAUUGGGCGUAAAGAGCUCGUAGGCGGUUUGUUGCGUCGGCUGUGAAAUCCCGAGGCUCAACCUCGGGUCUGCAGUCGAUACGAGCAAACUAGAGUGUUGCAGGGGAGACUGGAAUUCCUGGUGUAGCGGUGAAAUGCGCAGAUAUCAGGAGGAACACCGGUGGCGAAGGCGGGUCUCUGGGCCGAUACUGACGCUGGAGGAAGCGAAAGCGUGGGGAGCAAACAGG
rnacentral:rRNA from 1 species